rnacentral:rRNA from 1 species
AUUGAACGCUGGCGGCAUGCCUUACACAUGCAAGUCGAACGGCAGCACGGGAGCAAUCCUGGUGGCGAGUGGCGAACGGGUGAGUAAUAUAUCGGAACGUGCCCAGUCGUGGGGGAUAACGCAGCGAAAGCUGUGCUAAUACCGCAUACGAUCUAAGGAUGAAAGCGGGGGAUCGCAAGACCUCGCGCGAUUGGAGCGGCCGAUAUCAGAUUAGCUAGUUGGUGGGGUAAAGGCCCACCAAGGCGACGAUCUGUAGCUGGUCUGAGAGGACGACCAGCCACACUGGAACUGAGACACGGUCCAGACUCCUACGGGAGGCAGCAGUGGGGAAUUUUGGACAAUGGGCGCAAGCCUGAUCCAGCAAUGCCGCGUGCAGGAUGAAGGCCUUCGGGUUGUAAACUGCUUUUGUACGGAACGAAACGGCCCUUUCUAAUACAAGGGGCUAAUGACGGUACCGUAAGAAUAAGCACCGGCUAACUACGUGCCAGCCGCCGCCGUAAAAC